GCCCAGCUGCCCAGCACCGUGCCCAGCCGCCGCGGCGCCUCGCCCACCACUCUCUCUCCCUCUCCCCCCUAUUCCCCCACGACGUCGUGACUACCUCCACUACGAUCCUUCCCCUGCUUAUGGAGAUGACAGUUCCAAGCAUACUCCAACAUCUCUCUCCCUACACGCACAACUAGCCAUGGCCGCGCGGCCACUGCAACCCGUGCGAGCACACCCUGCGAUGCACGAGUGUUGCUCUGCACAACCGCUCGACGGUCGUCCCCCAGAGCUUCCCCAUGAUGCGCGUCGUGAAGCCCCUCGACGAAGACCCUAGGAACACCUGCAGGGGUCGGCCAUCGUGCACAGGUGAGAACCCACUCCUCUCUCUCCCUCGUCCCGCCGGCGUCGUCCCUCCGCUCGCGUGCCCUUUCUCGGCGCGAGCGCGUCCCUGCGCAGCGGAGCUGGGUGGCCGUGCUCCAGCCCCUCCUCCCCUCACCUAGCCCUGAGCGCGGUAGCCUCUUGCAGGCCCCCUCGCGCGGCGCCACCGCCGCGCAGUGCCCAUGCCCCUCGCGGCCAGUCCACAGCGGUGCCCCGGCCAACCCCCUGGCCAGCAGCGGCGUAGCGCCCAUCCCAACAGCGAGCAACCGCCAGCCAUGCACGCCGACUUCUUGCUGCCAUUACCCCGCCCCGCGUGACGUCCAACUCCAGCCGGUGUUGCGUCGCCUUGCCGCAUGAUGCGCGUGCCGUCGUGCUCGUGAAGAAAAGCAAACCGUCCGUGUGACCGUGUGCGAGUAUGUAGGCUAGGAGAAAAGAACGGACGUUGGGCCUCACAAACAUGCAUGUGCAGGCAGCGUUCCUCCAUGAUUUUCCUGCAUGCGUACAGAUUCUAGAGCCAAAACGAAAUUGCCGAUCCCUUGGAUAUCGUAUUUCCCUCCCCAGCCAGGCUGCAUGCCAGAGAAAUAAUCCUUAAGGAUUCUCUGUGCCCCAAAUUUGUGGCCCUAGGUGUGGCUUGUUUCGACCAAUAAAAAUGUGCCACGUCGUUAUUAAUCUGCGAUUAGUUAAAAAUAUAUUAACUUUUGCGUUAGACAUCUGAAUUAAUAUGUUUCUAUUGAGUUAGCUUCGUAAUAAUAUCAUGCACACAUUAAACAUAUUAUCUUGUCAUAACGUAUGUUUGUUUUACUUAAUUGUAAGUUGGUCUGUUGGUUAUUAACAUAGCAAUUUAGUUAAAACUAUUUUAUGGUUUUAAGUUACGCUUUUAUAAAUAUAUGUUAAAAUGAUUAAUACCAACUCAAAUAAGUACUAAUUUAAUUAUUACCAACUUAAACGUUUGGAUUCGAUACUGGUUUAGUAUAAAUAUGUCAUCUAUUUAGUUUUUCUCGCCUGUCGCGCGUGCGGUUCCGCACUCGGUGGCGUGCUGUUUCGCGCAUCGUUCUCUCUAGUCGCGCGUACUGUCUCGUGCGUUGUUUUGCGCAGUGUCGCGCGUCCUCACACGUCAUUCUCGUGUGCCGCACAUGCCAUUUUUCGCGUGCGUCGCGCAUGCCCUUUUCGCGUCGCGCACCUUGUCGUGCGUCGCCACGCGUCAUUUGCGCAUGACGCACGCGUCGUUUUUGCGUGUAGUGCACAUUGCCGCACGUUGUUCACGCAUGUCACGCGUGUCCGUGCGUCGUUCGCACGCUGUCGUGCUGUUUCGCGCGUCGUAAAUUUGCCUCACUUAGAUUCUCUCGUUUUAAUUAAAUUAUUUACUUAACUGACAUUGGUUAGUGUAGCAGAUUAAUCAAGCUAAAUGAUAGAUAUUAUUUAUAUUUGAUAACGUCGAAUUAAAUACUAUAGUUAAUACUUGUUUAGCGUAAACGCGCUAACCCCUCGACCGUAGCUCUUACUUUCGUGUUUCUUAUCCUCGCAUAACUGUAGGAGCGCUCUCUAUUUUAUAUUGCUCGCUUUUAUAACAUUUUAUCUUGUAUGGUGUAAUGUUCUUAUGCAUAUGUAUAUAUUUGUUUGCUUGUGCCUGUUCAUCUUCGCUUCGCGUUGCGAUUAGAUCGUGAUUCGUUUCUGAGCUUCGAGGAAUCGACGGUCAAGCUUCAACGACCAAAUGACCUAGUUCUUCGAGUUCCUCGAGAUUGAAGACCCUGAACAUAUGUUUGGUGAAGGCAAGUGUCCCUUGACCUAUCUCUGUCCUAUACAUUCUUUAAUUCACCUCCCGCAUUACACAGUUAUACCUAAGGAUUUACUAGCUUUUGUUAUCCAUGUCCUUGUUUACCUAUCUGGGUUGGAUUAUUAUUGUUUAGCUUUAUGCUAUUGCUCAGCUCUAAUCAAUGAACAUGAUGAGAUUUAUCAAUGAUACGUUGUUUCCCCCCCUUUAUUAUGAUGUUAUACUUGUGACCUUCAAGGGGGCUCGAGCGGUUUCUCGAGUGCCUCUCCGUAAGGACCUGUUCGUUGGAUGACCGCCCAGAAAAACAGUGCAACCAUGAGGGUGGAAUGGGAUGCCCUUAGCUAAAUAAUUAGAGGAACCGGGGUGUAGCUCGCUUAGCCAUCGUGCCGUCAAUGGGGCUCAGUGUAUGCGGCUCGCUCUGCCAAGUUUGGGUUCGCCCCUUGGGGAGGAGUGCGGUGCAUUUAGGAAACCUAACGGGUGGCUACAGCUCCGGGGAAUCUUUGUAAAGGCUACGUAGUGAUGCCCUGCUGGGUCACCUUGGUAGUGAUCAAUGGAGAGUCAUGAUCUCUGGGCAGAAAGGGAAUCACGACUUGUGGGUAAAGUGCACAACCUCUGCAGAGCGUUUGAAAACUGAUAUAUCAGCCGUGCUCACGGUUAUGAGCGGCCAAGGGAGCUCCAGUGAUUAGUGGUACUUGAUCAGAGAUGUUCGGAUUGCAGGUGGCAAUGAGAUUGAUGGUUCUUGGUAUUGACACUGGUAAUGGUAAGUGGUACUCUUUCCAUUUGGAAAGGAGUACGUUUGGGUUAAUAACGUGGGUUAAAUCUAAAACUUGGCUUUCUCUACUAGUAAUAAUAAUCUGACCAACUAAAAGCAACUGCUUGACUUACCCCCACAUAAAAGCUAGUCCACUACAGCCAAACAGGAUACUUGCUGAGUAUGUUGAUGUGUACUCACCCUUGCUCUACACACCAAACCCCCCCCAUCCCCAGGUUGUCAGCAUUGCAACCACUGCUCAGGAGAAGAUGAAGUCGUGGAAGGAGACUUUCAGGAGUUCCAAGACUACGACGAGUUCUAGGCGUGGGUUAGCGGCAACCCCCAGUCGGCUGCCUGUGAAGGCCGCGUUUAUCUACGUUUCGUUUUCGCACUUUGAUUAUUUGUAAAGACUAUGUGGAUGUCUCAGACUUAUGAUGUAAUCGACUAUUAUUCCCUUUUUAGUACUAUUUGAGCACUGUGUGAUGAUGUCCAUGUUAUGUAACUGCUGUGUACGUGAAUUGCUGAUCCUGGCACGUACAUGGUUCGCAUUCGGUUUGCCUUCUAAAACCGGGUGUGACAUAAGUGGUAUCAAAGCCGUGCUGACUGUAGGACCGCUGACCUAGAGUAGCAUUGGCCGUUUUAAGGACUUCUUGACUGUUACUUCACCUCAUCCUUGAUUCUGCUUCAAAUUUUAGUCAUCUCGACUAAUUCUAUGUUGUGCUCCUAUAUGCCCCCUUGUCAAAAAGUAUUUUAUUCUAGCAUGGUCUAUACUUCUCUCAGUCUAUUAGAACUUACCUCACUCUUGUGCUUGCGACAUCUUUGUAGAUGCCCCCUGACCAUAGCCUUUAGUCUUUUGGGACUCUUUCCUCGUCCAUUUUUAAAUUGCUACCAUUUGACCAUCUCUAUUCCAUUUUGUUAUUGACAUGCUCGUACCCUUGCAUUUUUUUAAUACCCUUAUCCCUUAAUCUAAAAUACUUACCCUUGUACCUCUAUUGCCUAUUUAAAUAGUUCAGUUUAUGUGUCCAUGACCUUCUUGUCUUCUGAGAUCAUUUCUUAUUCUGUUGUUAAGUCGCUAUCUCUCGGUAAUUUCUGUGCCCUUGGUCUUAGUAUGCUCGUAUCCUUGGAAUCUUGCAUACUCUUAUAUUCUUAUGUAUGCUUAUUUUCAUACCCCAAUAACCGUUCAAGACAUUUCAGUUAACAUGUCCUUGACCACCCCUGUUUCUUAACAGUCCAUGAGCGAUCAUUUCAUGUCGCCCAUCCUUGGUGAUCUCGUUGUUCCUUUAUAACUUCUCUCGAUAAUGAGUUCUUACGUCAACCAUAAUAUUGCACCCUCACCUAUCUUACUGUUGAUUGUUUUCUCCACUUCGCCACUACGUGAGUCUUCCCUUAACUCUAUCAUUUGUCAUGACUUUUGUUAUUAUCACCUUCACCUUAGACAUCUCUAUAUCUUACUUGAGGUUUAUCUUAUACCGGCAUUUAAAAUCUUCUCCUUUUUCCAUCUCAAUUUGAGCAUCGUACUUUACCUACUUUUCCCUUGGUCGUAUCCUCUUCUUUGUCACCUGCGAGUUGUUAACUCUAUCCUUCGUUGUGUUUUUGAUUGUUAUUUCCUUUACC
rnacentral:lncRNA from 1 species